rnacentral:lncRNA from 1 species
AGUGGGACUAGACUGCGGCAGAAUUUGUUGUACCUUUUCCCUCCUAAGAGCAGAGGCCAUUGGUUCUGUGCAAUAGUGUGUUGUUUGUCUAUUGUAGAUUUGUUUAGAUCUGUAGUAGGUUUGCUGUUAGUAUAAUGUUGCGAUGCAAAACCAGAAUAAGCAAUGAAACAGUGUGCUCUAGUCUAAUGUAACAAAUAGAGUAAUGUUAGGUGAACCACCUUUUUAGGAACCACCUAGAGACCACCUUACGUGGCAACUGAUAUGGCACUGACAUAUCAUCAAACCAUGAUUUCUUAUGUUUGAUAUUCAAUUUUUUUCUUAAUUACCAAAAUUCAUUUUUAUUUUUACUUUCUUAUUAAUAUCUUUUAAACCCUAAUCUCUCUCUUAGAUCUAAUAUGCUUCUGCAUCGUGACGUCGUUUGUUUUCUUUCUCUCCUCCUCUCACAUUGAUCUCCUCUCAACCCUCUUACCUACUCGCAAGUCGCAACUGAUCGAUCGACACUUUUAAAUCAGAUUUCCGUUUCCUCACAAGCAUCGGCGACAAAAUCUUGGCCUUGUACGUAUGAAAUAUGAAUAGGUAGUUGGGAAUUAGGGUUCACAGAGAAUUGGAUUUGGUAAGGAGAAUUGGAUUUGAAUUAGAUACAAAUAGGUAGUUUGGAAUUAAGGUUUACGGAGAAUUGGAUUUGAAUUAGAGUUCAUCAUGUAUAUUUGUUUGAUGCUAGAAAAUUGAUUUGAUGCAGUUAGCACAAGCGAUCUAGUUCGACUGCAAAUCUUCUUGUUGUUAUUGUUAGGGAAAAUGUCAAUUUAGUAUUAAUUUAAACCCCUUAUUUCUCAUUCCAAUGACAAUCUUUUUCAUUAGUCCAUUUCAAAAUAAGGUAACAUUUUUUAUGCCCAAAUGCACAAAUCUUUAUGCCCAAAUGCGCAAAUCUUUACUAAAGUCUUAACAAACCAUAUUAUUUUAAAAUUAUUUUGCCCUCACCUCUUAAACAUGCAUAGAGAGAGAAAAUGAAAGAGAGAAUACUUGGCGCGAAUCUCACCAGACUCUGGUCACCGGCUGCUGGACUCCAGUCACCGGCCGUCAGACUCUGGUCACCGGAAUUUCCACUGUAAGUCUGUAACUAGUUACUGACCCCCAAUAACCAGUUAAUGACCCCUAAUAACCAGUUACUGACCCCCUAAUAACCAGUUACUGACCCCCAGUGACCAGUUACUGACACUCAGUAACCAGUUACUGACCCCCAGUAACUGAGUUACUGAUCCCUAAUAAUUAGUUACUGACUCCCAAUAAUCGAUUACUGACCCCAAUAACCUUGGUUACUGACCUCAAUAAUCAAAUAAUUUGUUACUGAUCUCUAGUAAUCGAGUUACUGACUCUAGUAAUCCCUAAUAAUCAGUUACCCCGACACCCAGUAAUUAGUUAUUGAAUACCAAUGACUUCUACUCAUACACAAAUCUCCACCAACCUCAAGAAAUCUCUCCUUCCCUCAGAUCCGACCCGCGCACUCGGCCUUCACCGACGGCCUCCUUAACGGCAUGGCAACGACUCCAGCAGACAAGGAGAUCUGGUCAAUUCCGGCGAUGGGAGAAACAGCUUCAAGAGAGAGAGAGAGAGAGAGAGAGAGAGAGAGAGAGAGAGAGAGAGAGAGAGAGAGAGAGUUUGUUUCAGAUCGGGACGGAGAGAGAGGUACGGUUGAGUGAUGCGAGGGCAAUAUAGUCAAUUUCAUGAGAUUUGUUAGAAUGGGUUGCUUGAAACGAUUUUCAUUGGAAUAGGCUCUUAUUAUAGUGUUUUUGGGCAAAUGGGCAUUUUCCCUUAUCUAGGUCUUGAAAAUUUCUUUUCCAAAGCUAUAUUUCAGUUAUAGUACAGGAUCAAGUUGUUUACUGUCAAGCUUUUGCUUUGGAACAGAGUUUGGUUCCAGCUAUUUUGAAAACAAAUGCAUUGUUGUUGCAGCAGAUAAAAAGUAGGGAUAUAGUGCAUUUUUGAGGUGGUAUUGUGGUAGUGAGUUGGUC